AAGUCGUAACAAGGUUUCCGUAGGUGAACCUGCGGAAGGAUCAUUAUCGAAUUAUAAGCGAGGGUUGUCGCUGGCCUCUUUCGCGGCAUGUGCACGCCCGAGCUCUUAAAUCCACAACACACCUGUGAACCCACCGUAGGCCUUCGGGCUUAUGUAUCAUAUACUCUGAAUGUGUCAUAGAAUGUUCAUGUUGCCUUAAAACGCAAUCAAAUACAA
rnacentral:misc_RNA from 1 species